rnacentral:rRNA from 1 species
GAGUUUGAUCGUGGCUCAGGAUGAACGCUGGCGGCGUGCCUAAUACAUGCAAGUCGAGCGAACGGACGAGAAGCUUGCUUCUCUGAUGUUAGCGGCGGACGGGUGAGUAACACGUGGGUAACCUACCUAUAAGACUGGGAUAACUCCGGGAAACCGGGGCUAAUACCGGAUAACACAUGAAACCGCAUGGUUUCAUGAUGAAAGACGGUCUUGCUGUCACUUAUAGAUGGAUCCGCGCUGCAUUAGCUAGUUGGUAAGGUAACGGCUUACCAAGGCAACGAUGCAUAGCCGACCUGAGAGGGUGAUCGGCCACACUGGAACUGAGACACGGUCCAGACUCCUACGGGAGGCAGCAGUAGGGAAUCUUCCGCAAUGGGCGAAAGCCUGACGGAGCAACGCCGCGUGAGUGAUGAAGGUCUUCCGAUCGUAAAACUCUGUUAUUAGGGAAGAACAUAUGUGUAAGUAACUGUGCACAUCUUGACGGUACCUAAUCAGAAAGCCACGGCUAACUA